rnacentral:rRNA from 1 species
GACGAACGCUGGCGGCGUGCUUAACACAUGCAAGUCGAACGGAAAGGCCCUGCUUUUGUGGGGUGCUCGAGUGGCGAACGGGUGAGUAACACGUGAGUAACCUGCCCUUGACUUUGGGAUAACUUCAGGAAACUGGGGCUAAUACCGGAUAGGAGCUCCUGCUGCAUGGUGGGGGUUGGAAAGUUUCGGCGGUUGGGGAUGGACUCGCGGCUUAUCAGCUUGUUGGUGGGGUAGUGGCUUACCAAGGCUUUGACGGGUAGCCGGCCUGAGAGGGUGACCGGCGACAAUGGGACUGAGGGACGGCCCAGUGUGGUAAGGGCGGCAGCAGUGGGGAAUAUUGCAGAAUGGGCGGAGGCCUGAUGCAGAAACCCCGCGUGCGGGAAAACGGCUUACGGGGUGUAAACCGCUUUCGACUGUGACGAAGCGUGAGUGACGGUAACGGGUAAAGAAGCACCGGCUAACUACGUG